AACCAGAUAUGGAACUGCGAAAUGUAUGUUUCCAGCGUUAUCUUUCCAAGCCAUGCAAAAAGGGUCAAAGUGUAGCUUCGGAAGUUUUGAGAGACAUUUCUCAAACAUAUGUACACAGUUAUUGGAAUCCAAGAGGUAUAAGGAUGGUAUUUAUUGUACGUAAUUUUGUCCAGCUUGUAUACAUGCUCAUACCACAGAUAACCCACCGAAAGGGAUAUCAAUGCCACAACUGUUUUGAUUGAUAUUUUGCGUUUCACUUCUGUUUCCUCCAGUUUCUCCAUCCACCUUUCCACUGUUGGAUGAUAGUAGGCAUAUAUCAUUCCAAUUAUCCAGAUAUAACGAUCAAGACCUGAGCGAAAAUGCCAUUCGUGCAACCGAGGUAAAUCUGGUUUCGCAGGAUCAGUGUAGCCAAGGAAAAAUGUAAAUGGGCUCCACACCAGCUCAAAAACUCCA
rnacentral:misc_RNA from 1 species